rnacentral:miRNA from 1 species
GACUCUGGGACGCUCAGACGCCGCGCGGGGCGGGGAUUGGUCCCGUGCUCCUCUCUCGGCUCCUCGCGGCUCGCGGCGGCCGGCGGUU